rnacentral:misc_RNA from 1 species
AAGUCGUAACAAGGUUUCCGUAGGUGAACCUGCGGAAGGAUCAUUAUUGAAUUAUGUUUUCUAGAUGGGUUGUAGCUGGCUCUUAGGAGCAUGUGCACGCCUGUCUGGACUUCAUUUUCAUCCACCUGUGCACCUUUUGUAGUCUUUGUUGGGUAUGGAGGAAGUGGUCAGCCUUAUCAGCUCUCGCUGGAUAUGAGGACUUGCAGUGUGAAAGCAGUGCUGUCCGCUACUUGGCCAUGGAAUCUGUUUCCCGUCAGAGUCUAUGUUGUUCAUUAUACCCUAUAAACUGUUAUUGAAUGUUUUUACAUGGGCUUCUAUGCCUAUGAAAAUUGUAAUACAACUUUCAGCAACGGAUCUCUUGGCUCUC